rnacentral:rRNA from 1 species
AUUGAACGCUGGCGGAAUGCUUACACAUGCAAGUCGAGCGGCAGCGCGGGGCAACCUGGCGGCGAGCGGCGAACGGGUGAGUAACAUAUCGGAACGUACCCCGUCGUGGGGGAUAACUACCCGAAAGGGUGGCUAAUACCGCAUACGACCUGAGGGUGAAAGGGGGGGAUCGCAAGACCUCUCGCGAUGGGAGCGGCCGAUAUCGGAUUAGCUUGUUGGUGAGGUAAAGGCUCACCAAGGCGACGAUCCGUAGCUGGUCUGAGAGGACGACCAGCCGCACGGGAAGUGAGACACGGUCCAGACUCCUACGGGAGGCAGCAGUGGGGAAUUUUGGACGAUGGGGGCAACCCUGAUCCAGCCAUUCCGCGUGAGUGAAGAAGGCCUUCGGGUUGUAAAGCUCUUUCGGCAGGAACGAAACGGCAGGCUCUAACAUAGCCUGUCAAUGACGGUACCUGAAGAAGAAGCACCGGCUAACUACGUGCCAGCCGCCGCCGUAAAAC